GCAGAGCCACACAGCCACUCAUGGCCUUUUUCAAUGCACACAAGCUGUACGGCCGUCCAGCCCUUGUGGACCCAAUGUCCAUCCUUCCUCCUCCGUGGGUAACAGACCCCAAUUUUAUGCGAAGUGGCCGUGAGAGUACGCCCCAGCUAUCCCUGCAGCUGGAGUGGCCCAUGAGAUGCAUGCACGCGGCAUUAGACUGAAAAAUGCAGAGCAUCUGGUUUUAAAGUUCAGAAGAAAGUCCCCGCCCCCACCCAGCCCUGCAAGGAGAGUUUGACAUGCUGUCCCUGCAUCUGGGGCUGGGAAAGGACCUUGGACACCAGCCAGCAGUCCUCACCACGUGGCUGCUUACUGCCAGCUUCUGGGAGAUGGCCAAGGGGUGCUGGUGGCCAGCUCAGUGAAUACACAGCCGCCGGACUCUGGCUCCGAAGGGCUAUCCGAGUUUCGCCGUGGGAAGCGGAGCCUCUGAAAGACAAGACGGCAGAGCAGAGAACCCCAGCCCAGGACCCCAGACUUGGACGUAGCCACCUGUGAUACCCAAGGGCAGCGACAUCCAAAACUGAAGGCGGCCCCUGGGCCGUGAGCGGCCGGCAGCCCUCUUUGUUUCUUGGGGCUCCCAUUCCACGCUUGUCAUCAGGAAACCUUGCUUCAGCCGACGGUGUGCUACUGUGAUGUCUACCAAUGUUCUAGUGAACCCAGAGGGCCUUUUGUUAGAAGU